AUUGAACGCUGGCGGCAGGCUAAACACAUGCAAGUCGAGCGGGAUGAUGGUGCUUGCACUAUCACUUAGCGGCGGACGGGUGAGUAAUGCUUAGGAAUCUGCCUAUUAGUGGGGGACAACAUCUCGAAAGGGAUGCUAAUACCGCAUACGUCCUACGGGAGAAAGCAGGGGAUCACUUGUGACCUUGCGCUAAUAGAUGAGCCUAAGUCGGAUUAGCUAGUUGGUGGGGUAAAGGCCUACCAAGGCGACGAUCUGUAGCGGGUCUGAGAGGAUGAUCCGCCACACUGGGACUGAGACACGGCCCAGACUCCUACGGGAGGCAGCAGUGGGGAAUAUUGGACAAUGGGGGGAACCCUGAUCCAGCCAUGCCGCGUGUGUGAAGAAGGCCUUAUGGUUGUAAAGCACUUUAAGCGAGGAGGAGGCUCUUUUGGUUAAUACCCAAGAUGAGUGGACGUUACUCGCAGAAUAAGCACCGGCUAACUCUGUGCCAGCAGCCGCAGUAA
rnacentral:rRNA from 1 species